GAUGAACGCUGGCGGCGUGCUUAACACAUGCAAGUCGAGCGGACAGACGAGGAGUUUGUGCGUCUGACGUUAGCGGCGGACGGGUGAGUAACAUGAGGAUAAUCCACCUAUAAGACGGGGAUAAUCUGGGGAAACGGGAGCUAACACCGGAGAAUAUAUUGAAACGCAUGGUUCGAUAGAGAAAGACGGUGUUGGGGGCAGUUAUCGAUGGUUAUGCGCCGCAUUAGGUGGUUGGGAAGGUAACGGCUUACCAAGGCAACUAUGCGUAGGCGACCUGAGAGGGUGAUCGGCCACACGAGAACUGAGACACGGUCCAGACUCCUGCGAGAGGCAGCAGUAGGGAAUCUUCCGCAAUAGGCGGAAGCCUGACGGAGCGGCGCCGCGUGUGUGAUAGAGGUCUUCGGAUCGUAAAACUCUGUUAUUAGGGAAAAACAACUGUGUCCGUAACUAUGCACGUCUUGACGGUACCUAAUCAGAAAGCCACGGCUAACUACGUG
rnacentral:rRNA from 1 species